AAACACCUCCGCAGAUGCUCUGGAGGAUGGUAGAGACUGGAGAGGGGCUCCACAAACGCGAAUUGAAGACAGAGAAAAGUGUCAGCUUUGCUGUCCUUCUGCUUAUCUGGUUGUGAAUGAAAAUCCAGAGGAAGAUAGAUGCCAGCUAAGGUUUUGGCAAUGCAGUCCCAUGUGAGUAGGUAAUUCUUCUUUGCACCUCUGUUGCCAGCAGAUGGGAAGAUUUCUCCU
rnacentral:lncRNA from 1 species